rnacentral:rRNA from 1 species
GAUGAACGCUGGCGGCGUGCCUAAUACAUGCAAGUCGAGCGAACGGACGAGAAGCUUGCUUCUCUGCUGUUAGCGGCGGACGGGUGAGUAACACGUGGAUAACCUACCUAUAAGACUGGGAUAACUUCGGGAAACCGGAGCUAAUACCGGAUAAUAUUUUGAACCGCAUGGUUCAAAAGUGAAAGACGGUCUUGCUGUCACUUAUAGAUGGAUCCGCGCUGCAUUAGCUAGUUGGUAAGGUAACGGCCUACCAAGGCAACGAUGCAUAGCCGACCUGAGAGGGGGAACCGGCAACCUGGAAAUGAGGACCGGGCCCGGAUCCCACGGGAGGGCGGAGGUGGGAAUUUUUCCGCAUGGGCGGAAGGCUUGACGAGGCAACGCGGCGGGAUGAAGGAGGGUCUUCGGUUGGAAAAACCUUGUGAUUGGGGAGAAACACAGGGGGAUGUAACUGUGCAGAUCUGAAGGUAACCAAAGCAGAAGGCCCGGCUAAAUUAGUG